GUUUAGCAAUUUCUGUCCAGGGAUGAUGUUGGACAACUACGUUCGCACCACAUGCACUGACUCUGAUUCUAUCCGCCUUCCCUCUGUCAGUAUUAUUUAUUGCUGCCAGCAUGGCUGGGGAAGUAGUCUAUGCCGAUCUCAACAUCUCUUCUGAACCACAUAGGUCAACCCUGCUCCAUCCAUCUCAGCAGUGCACUCUUCCCCAUUAUUCCCAUUGGCACCAGAUUGCUCUGUGGGUGGGGUACAUUGGGAAUGUCGUUCUCCUGGCAGCGGUGAUAUUUUUGGUUCUGCACUUGGAGAAUGGAAACCCUGAUGCAGAUGUAAGCGGAACAAAAUGUAAUAACACCUUAGAAGAUUUCCAAUCCCGUCUACUCAGGGAAAUCUGCAACCGAAGCCGGGAUAGCU